GUCAACAGCCAUACCUCUCUGAAUGUACAUGAUCUCAUCUGAUUUGGGAAGUGAAGCAGGGUUGGACCUGAAUAAUACUUGGAUGAGAGAAUGAAAAGAAAAGGGAAAGAACAUGGCUUGUUCAAA
rnacentral:rRNA from 1 species